GGUCGUAACACGGGUGCUGCAUGGCUGUCGUCAGCUCGUGUCGUGAGAUGUUGGGUUAAGUCCCGCAACGAGCGCAACCCUUGUCAUUAGUUGCUACAUUCAGUUGGGCACUCUAAUGAGACUGCCGGUGACAACCGGAGGAAGGUGGGGAUGACGUCAAGUCCUCAUGGCCCUUAUAGGUGGGGCUACACACGUCAUACAAUGGAUGGUACAAAGGGUCGCCAACCCGCGAGGGGGAGCCAAUCCCAUAAAGCCAUUCGUAGUCCGGAUCGCAGUCUGCAACUCGACUGCGUGAAGUCGGAAUCGCUAGUAAUCGUGGAUCAGAAUGUCACGGUGAAUACGUUCCCGGGUCUU
rnacentral:rRNA from 1 species